CGGUUUGAAAUAUUUAAAUUCUCUCUAUCAAAUCUAGAUUCUCCGGGAUCGUAGUGAUUUUCAUUCACUCUACGCGACCCAUUCAGAGCCUUUUCGGUCUUUACGAAACCCCCCAAUAAUUGUCCAUGAUGAGUAUAUCUUGAACUUCUCGAUUCCUCAAACCUAAUCGAUCCUUGUCUUAGUUUUUACUGUGUUCCUCCGUUUUUUUCGUAGGUUUGUGUAUUAGUCUUUAUUUCAGCUGAUCUUUGUCUUUAUUCUUUCCGAUAUUUCCAGACGCCAAUUAAUACCAAAAAAUAACUUUGCGAUAAACGAAGUCGAUUCGGUUCAUAAUUCUACGAUUUCGACAAAAUGGAUGUCCGACAUUAUAGCGGUUCGAAUCGAAUUGAACACGCGUCCACCGGGACGGAUGUCUAUGAAUUAUUUGCUAUUUUCGCUAAAUAUACAUUUUAUACCGAAU